rnacentral:tRNA from 2 species
GGGCCUGUAGCUCGAAGGUCGAGCAGUCGGCUCAUAACCGAUCGGUGUGAGUUCGAUUCUCACCGGGCCCA